GUAGGUGGCAAGCGUUGUCCGGAAUUAUUGGGCGUAAAGCGCGCGCAGGCGGUUCUUUAAGUCUGAUGUGAAAGCCCACGGGCUCAACCGUGGAGGGUCAUUGGAAACUGGAGAACUUGAGUACAGAAGAGGAAAGCGGAAUUCCACGUGUAGCGGUGAAAUGCGUAGAGAUGUGGAGGAACACCAGUGGCGAAGGCGGCUUUCUGGUCUGUAACUGACGCUGAGGCGCGAAAGCGUGGGGAGCAAACAGGAUUAGAUACCCUGGUAGUCCACGCCGUAAACGAUGAGUGCUAAGUGUUGGGGGGUUUCCGCCCCUUAGUGCUGCAGCUAACGCAUUAAGCACUCCGCCUGGGGAGUACGGCCGCAAAGGCUG
rnacentral:rRNA from 1 species